rnacentral:rRNA from 1 species
UACAGAGGUCCCAAGCGUUGUUCGGAUUCACUGGGCGUAAAGGGUGCGUAGGCGGUCGGAUAAGUCUGAUGUGAAAUCUUCGAGCUCAACUCGGAAACUGCAUCGGAAACUAUUUGGCUAGAGGAUUGGAGGGAGACUGGAAUUCUCGGUGUAGCAGUGAAAUGCGUAGAUAUCGAGAGGAACACCAGUGGCGAAGGCGAGUCUCUGGACAAUUCCUGACGCUGAGGCACGAAAGCUAGGGGAGCAAACAGG